UGGGUAACCUGCCUCAAAGAGGGGAAUAGCCCUCCCGAAAAGGGGAGAUUAAAUACCGCAUAAUAUGUUUAA
rnacentral:rRNA from 1 species